UGGCGGCAGGCCUAACACAUGCAAGUCGAGCGGUAACAUUUCUAGCUUGCUAGAAGAUGACGAGCGGCGGACGGGUGAGUAACGCGUAGAAAUCUACCUAGUAGUGGGGAGUAGCCCAGAGAAAUUUGGAUUAAUACCGCAUACGCCCUACGGGGGAAANCGGGGGAUCUUCGGACCUCGUGCUAUUAGAUGAGUCUGCGUCGGAUUAGCUUGUUGGUGAGGUAAUGGCUCACCAAGGCGACGAUCCGUAGCUGGUCUGAGAGGAUGACCAGCCACACUGGAACUGAGACACGGUCCAGACUCCUACGGGAGGCAGCAGUGGGGAAUAUUGCACAAUGGGCGCAAGCCUGAUGCAGCCAUGCCGCGUGUGUGAAGAAGGCCUUAGGGUUGUAAAGCACUUUCAGCAGUGAGGAAAGGGGUGUCGUUAAUAGCGCCAUCCUGUGACGUUAACUGCAGAAGAAGGACCGGCUAACUCCGUG
rnacentral:rRNA from 1 species